UGAGGGAAUAUUGGGUCAAUGGGCGAGAGCCUGAACCAGCCAAGUAGCGUGAGGGAUGACUGCCCUAUGGGUUGUAAACCUCUUUUGAUUGGGAACAAAGAGCGCCACGUGUGGUGCGUUGCGUGUACCUUUCGAAUAAGCAUCGGCUAAUUCCGUGCCAGCAGCCGCGGUAAUACGGAAGAUGCGAGCGUUAUCCGGAUUUAUUGGGUUUAAAGGGAGCGUAGGCGGGCUGUUAAGUCAGCGGUCAAAUGUCAGGGCCCAACCUUGGCAUGCCGUUGAUACUGGCGGCCUUGAGUGUAUUCGAUGUCAGCGGAAUUUGUGGUGUAGCGGUGAAAUGCUUAGAUAUCACGAAGAACUCCGAUUGCGAAGGCAGCUGACAAGGCUACAACUGACGCUAAAGCUCGAAAGUGCGGGUAUCGAACAGGAUUAGAUACCCU
rnacentral:rRNA from 1 species